CGGGCCGGGCUGAGGUCAGCGCUCCAAACGGGAGUGACCUUUUCCCGGGAUAAAAUUGGGAUGGGCCGCGAUUCCCGCCGGGAGAAGGAUCCAGAGCGGGGAGAGGCCGUAUCCCGAUCCCGGUUUUUAUUUUUUUUUCCCAAUUUUUUUCGGGAGCCGGCGCUGCAAGGCCCGGGAAUUCUCGGUGUCCCGGCUCCGGAGCUUUCCUGGGUUUUUCGGGAUUCUUCUCCCACUUUUUGUGGAUCGAUCUUUGGCUGGAUUCUUGUCCUGGAUUCCCGGCGCCGCAUCCCCAGGAAAAUUCCCAAGGCCGGGAACGCCCCUGGAGCAGCCGGGCCCCCCCCGCCAUGGCCUCGCCCCCCCCGCCCGCAGUAGGUACUGUCAGCCUCGGCGUCGGGAAUUCGGGAAUUCGGGGAAUUUUGGGAGUUCUGGGAAUGGGACACCC
rnacentral:lncRNA from 1 species